GUCAUUUUCGUCUUUUUUGUCCUCCGUCUCCUAAAAAUUCAAUGUUGAUGUUUUUGCCGCUCGCUCUGAGAUCCUUUUCUGCGGCGAAUGAUGAUCAGCUGACACCGAGUUCAUUAGCGGUCCGUCAGGACUUUCACCUGAGGUCCAGGUGAGGACUGAAUCCCUCUGACCUCCGUGACCCCCGUCAGCAUGAGAGGAGGUCUCAGAGUCUUGGGGUCUUCAGCUGCUGUGGUCACUGAAGUGAAUCAAGAGGUCUUUCCUGUUUCGUCUUUCACUUCCUCCUCAGUUUCUAUGAACUUCAAAUUCUGAGACUCAUGAAACUUUGGUGAGAAACUCGGAGGAGGAGGAGGAGGAGGAGGAGGAGGAGGAGGAGCAGAACUUCAGAGGGUUCAGAGAAAAAGAAAAUGAAGAUUUCAAAAACUUUCAAAAACUUUCAAAAAUAUAAAUGAAGAUUCUCCUAAAGACGAGGACCUGGAAACGAGUUUGAUCCUUGAGGACAAAGUUAGAGUCCAUCCUGAGUUUCAGAUCCUCAGAGAAACAAACAAAGAGCUCAAGGACCUGGAAAUCCUCAAUAAUCCUGAGUGUCAGGUUCUGGGUCAGGUUCUGGGUCAGGUUCUGGGUCAGGGUCCGCACCCUUCCCCACGUAGACCCGUUGACUCUGUGGUGAAAGUUCUGGUCCUGCUGGUCUCCAACAUUCAGGGAAAACCCGACAGCAGACUCAGAUGUGAGACCAGACUCAGGACCCACCGGACCCCAAAGAGAAGAACCAUCCUGUCCUGCAAUCUGUGCACCGACAACCAAGAGGGGGCGGAGCUUCUUCACGGGUGAACCGGGGUCUUCAUGGAGGUCAGGGAUCCACCACGUGGUCAAGUCCUGCUUACUUUAAGAACCAGAACCUUUGGGUCAGACCCGGGUCUCUGUGCCGUUCUAAAAGUACAGACCUGGUAUUUGUAGUUU